rnacentral:rRNA from 1 species
UACGAAGGGGGCUAGCGUUGCUCGGAAUCACUGGGCGUAAAGCGUGCGCAGGCGGUUUUGUAAGUCAGAUGUGAAAUCCCCGGGCUUAACCUGGGAACUGCGUUUGAAACUACAAGGCUAGAGUGUGGCAGAGGGGGGUGGAAUUCCACGUGUAGCAGUGAAAUGCGUAGAGAUGUGGAGGAACACCGAUGGCGAAGGCAGCCCCCUGGGUUAACACUGACGCUCAGGCACGAAAGCGUGGGGAGCAAACAGG